rnacentral:lncRNA from 1 species
CCCCGUCCGAAUUGAACCGAACGAAAAAAAGAAGAAAUUAACCCUUUGCCGGCCGCCCGAUAAACAGCCACCGGCAAAGGCCAAUUAUUUAUUUAUUUUUUCCAAAGUGGGCUGCCGGUAAAGGCCAAUUUUUUUUAUUUUUUUUCCAAAGUCCACCGGUCGAAUUGAACCGAACGAAAAAAAAUAGCAAAGCAUUUUUCGCCGAAGGCCCAUAGAAUAGCCGCCGGCAAAGCAUUUUUUUUCCCUUUUUUUGUUUGUUUGUGAUGUAAAUUAACAUAUUGUAAAACAUAGAGCAAUAUAUAUUGUUGUUUAGAUUGAACCCAAUUUGCACUUAUAAAAUAUAGAAAACUAAUUACUCUUUGCCAGCGGCCGUGAGUUAAUUGGUUACGAUCGGUUCAUCAACGCAUGAAAUCGAAACAAAUGGUUUCCCGGCUUUCCCCUUGUGCAUGGUGUGCCAUGUAUAUGUAAAUGAAGGGUGUGUUCAUGGCAAAAUCAAAUCGAUAUCCCUGAUGUA